rnacentral:rRNA from 1 species
AGCCUGAUGCAGCGACGCCGCGUGAGGGAUGACGGCCUUCGGGUUGUAAACCUCUCUUACCAGGGACGAAGCGUGAGUGACGGUACCUGGAGAAGAAGCACCGGCCAACUACGUGCCAGCAGCCGCGGUAAUACGUAGGGUGCGAGCGUUGUCCGGAAUUACUGGGCGUAAAGAGCUCGUAGGCGGUUUGUCGCGUCGUCUGUGAAAUUCUGCAACUCAAUUGUAGGCGUGCAGGCGAUACGGGCAGACUUGAGUACUACAGGGGAGACUGGAAUUCCUGGUGUAGCGGUGAAAUGCGCAGAUAUCAGGAGGAACACCGGUGGCGAAGGCGGGUCUCUGGGUAGUAACUGACGCUGAGGAGCGAAAGCGUGGGUAGCGAACAGGAUUAGAUACCCUGGUAGUCCACGCCGUAAACGGUGGGUACUAGGUGUGGGUUCCUUUUCACGGGAUCCGUGCCGUAGCUAACGCAUUAAGUACCCCGCCUGGGGAGUACGGCCGCAAGGCUAAAACUCAAA